AUGCAAAACCCUAACCACAUCAUCAUCUUCCUAAAACACAAAUCCUUAAGAAGAGGUUUUGAGAAAGACGAAGAGAAAAGUUUCAAAAGUCUCAGAGAACAGAGAGGGAAAGAUUUGAGAGAUCUCACCAGAGUAAGCUCAGAAGUGACAUCCUCGCCGCGUUAUCACCGUCACUGUCACUGUUUCCCUCCAUCAAAAUCUUAG